rnacentral:tRNA from 3 species
AUAUAGCUCAGUUGGUAGAGCUCCGCUCUUGCAAUUGG